GCCUGCAGCAGGGCCCACUGGAUCUUGUCUGAUCUCAGAAGCUAAGCAGGGCCAGGCUCAGUACAUGGAUGGGAGACCACCUGGGAAUCCCAGGUGCUGCUAUUU
rnacentral:rRNA from 14 species